rnacentral:rRNA from 1 species
GGUAUGAAUGGCUAAACGAGAAAUUGACUUUUUUUGUAAUAGAAUUUGAAUUUAAUUUUUUAGUGAAAAAGCUAAAAUUUUUUAGAAAGACGAGAAGACCCUAUAGAGUUUUAUGUCUAAAAGAAUUACCUUUUAUUUGAUUUUUAAGGAUGGAAUUCUAGAAGAUAUUUUGUUGGGGCGACAUUAAGAUAAAAAAAACUCUUUAUUUUUUAUAUUUCUAUAGAAAUAAUUCUUGAUCCUCUAUAAGAGAUCAAAAGAAAAAAUUACCUUAGGGAUAACAGCGUAAUCUUUUUUGAGAGUUCUAAUCGACAAAAAGGUUUGCGACCU